GCCGGGUAUUAUCUCCUGGGCGCGGGUGUUCAGCCGUCUCCCUCCGCCCGGCGGGCCCUGGGCGGUCGGCAGGUCAGCGCACCGGGUCAGGUUUCCGCUGCCUCCCUGGAGCAGUUAGUCAGAACCCGGGUGUGGUUUCCACUACUAGAGGCUCACUUUUUUCUGCUCCCUAUUCUAUCUCUCCAAGAAUGAAACAUGACUGAGGACUCCCAGAGAAACUUCCGUUCAGUAUAUUAUGAAAAAGUGGGGUUUCGUGGAGUUGAAGAAAAGAAAUCAUUAGAAAUUCUCCUAAAAGAUGACUGUCUGGAUAUUGAGAAACUUUGUACUUUUAGUCAGAGGUUCCCGCUCCCAUCCAUGUACCGUGCAUUGGUCUGGAAGGUGCUUCUAGGCAUCUUGCCUCCACACCAUGAGUCCCAUGCCCAGGUGAUGAUGUAUCGCAAGGAGCAGUACUCUGAUGUCCUUCACGCCCUGGAAGUCAUUCGCUUUAUCAGUGAUGCCACACCUCAGGUUGAAGUCUAUCUCUACAUGCAUCGGCUGGAGUCUGGGAAGUUGCCUCGAAGCCCCUCCUUUGCACUGGAGCCAGAAGAUGAAGUAUUUCUUGCCAUUGCUAAAGCCAUGGAAGAGAUGGUGGAAGAUAGCAUUGACUGUUACUGGCUCACCCGAUGCUUUGUGAACCAACUGAAUAACAAGUACCGGGAUUUUCUACCCCAGCUGCCAAAGGCUUUUGAACAAUACUUGAACCUGGAAGAUAGCCGACUGCUGAGUCAUCUGAAGACGAGUUCUGCAGUGUCCAAACUUCCCUAUGAUCUCUGGUUCAAGAGAUGUUUCGCCGGCUGCUUGCCUGAAUCCAGCUUACAGAGGGUUUGGGAUAAAGUCAUAAGUGGAUCCUGUAAGAUACUAGUUUUUGUAGCUGUGGAAAUUCUCUUAACCUUUAAAAUAAAAGUAAUGGCACUGAACGGUGCAGAGAAGAUAACAAAGUUUCUGGAAAAUAUCCCCCAGGACAGCUCGGAUGCGAUUGUGAGCAAGGCCAUCGACUUAUGGCACAAACACUGCGGGACCCCGGUCCACUCCGCCUGAACAUUCCUGACAUUGUGGACAGUCUGCCAGGCCUGCCCAGAGGGCUUUUUGGGACAUGGUCUACUAAACUGAUGAUAGGGUUCUCACUUUGGUACUCAAAGUGUAAUUGUUUUCCCAGCAAAAUUUAUUUAAGAUACCUGGAGUCGCUGUGUUGUGGAAUGGCAUCUUCUGAUUACACAGAACUACAGAGUUCAACUCUGAAUAGCAUUUUAAAAAAAAAUUAUUUUAUUGAGUUGCAGGCUUUGAGCUGGGCGAGUGAGACGGGGCCCUUUGUUUGAAACUGAUUCAUGCACCUGUCAGACCUGCAGGAGCCCGAGUGUGAUCGCCUCUGCCCCGAAGAACUUUGAAUCCUGGAGUAGGGGAUGUGAGCAAAAGCGCGUGAGGAGUUCCUGCUGCACUUGUCCGCUACCUACCUCUUCCUAGAUUUUUUGAUAUGAUUGAAACAAGGUCCGUCUGAGUGGACAUGGUCCACAUGGGUGAGUUUCCUUGCUCAGGGAUGACAGAGGCAACCAGCACAGGUAUGUACUUUCAAUCCCCUGCCCACCUUUUUAAAAAAAAUAGUUGUAACUAAACUUUUUAAAGGGAAAGGGCUAUGUGCACGUGGGAAUAAAAGGCAACCAGGAUAGGAGAGUAUGCGACGCACGGCCCGUCCCUCCACCCCAGUCCCUUCCUCACAAGCAGCUUCUGUCAGCUGAGACGUGAGCGGGGUAUUGUGCAUACUUUCUAGGACGAAAGAAGGGACAGCACAGGGGCGUGCCCUGCCCGCUCUGGGGCUGUCGUAACCAGGUCAGUGGGAGAGAACUGAGGAAAACCCAAGACAGUUAAACUGCGACCAGGGGCUUUUCUUGUGUUGCCCCGGCUGGGAGGGUUUGGAGCGGGGGCUGAGGCUGGCGGGGGGGACGGGAAGCAUUUUAAUGCUGGCUUGGAACAGACGUCAAGGCAGCACAUAGUGUGAACGAGGCCAGCCCCCUGGGGAGCGGGGCCAAGGCCUUUACCCUAAUGCUUUGGUGGGGGGAGUUUGAGAUAAGCCCAACUCAUGUGUAAAAUACCUUUAUUUGUGUAGCUGAAGAGACGGGGCUUGCCGCCUCCUGGGUGGAGACUCUGAAAUCACAGCCCUCAUAAGGAUGUAGCCUCGCGUGGGACCCCCUGUGAGACCCGCCCUGGACAAGGUGUCAAUGACAACCAUCCUGCUCCAGGCUGGUUGGUUACAUUUUCUGACCCUGGAGAAGUGGCCUUUUGUAGGAGACGUCCUGUGCAUCCCAGCAGUGCACUCACCUCUGGUCAGCAGAGCUGUAUGUAUGCUGUAGGGGUGCCGCCUAUGUGGGCUGCCUGGGUUCUCCUGUUGUGGUCAGCUGACUGCUGCUGGCAGUCUAGUAGGUAUGGCUGGCCCCUGGUCCAGUUCGUUGCCAGGCUGCUGGUUGGUAGGGCUGGGUCCUGAGACAGCUGGCUGUGGAAUCUCAGAGUGUCCUGGGCCUAGGGCUGGCCCACUGGUGGGCAGAGCUGCGUUCUGGGGGUGGGGACCGGGGUUCCCAGAUCUAGCGUUGACCUGCUGGUGGGCAGGGCCAUGCCCCAGGGGGUCCUGGUGUGUGGGGCUGGUCCUGGGGUUAGUGUUGGCAGUCUGGUGGGCAGAGCUGGAUCCUGGUGUCCGGCUGCAGGGAUUGGGGGUCCUGGAGCUGGUGCUGGCCCACUGGUGGGUGGGUCCCAGGGCUAGUGUUGGCACACUGUGUAUGGGGUUAGUUCUGGGGCCCUCUGGACAGGGCUGUGUCCCUGGACAGCUGUGGGCUCAGGGGGUCCUAAGGCAGCAGCCCUGCUGGUGGGUGGGUCUGUAUCCCCACGCUGUUAGUUGCGUGGCCUGAGGUGUCCCAGUGCUAUUCCUGACAGGCUGACUGGCAGAGCAGCUAAGAAGCUGGUGCUAAGAAGCUAGAGAGGAUUCCAAAAUGGUGCUUGCCAGCCCUGGUGUUCUCCUGGUAGACAAGCUCCCAACAAUGGCUGCCACAGUGUCUGUGUCCCCAGUAUGAGUUCCAGUUGCCUCCUGCCUUUCUGGAAGGCUCUCCAAGAUCAGCAGUGGUAGAAGAUCUUUUCUGCUAGAUUCCAGUCUCUCUCAUCAGCAGUGGCUCUGCAAACAGCUGUAAUUUUGUUGUGCCCAUGAGAGGAGGUGAGCUCAGCGUCUUCCCGCUCUGCCAUUCGGCCAGGUCCUCAAGAGCUAACAUGUAGUGAGGCCUAACUCUGUGUCAGACCCUGUGCUGAGCACCUUACGCAUAUUUAAUCCUGCCAGGCUAGAAGUAGGUGCCAUUAUUCCCAUUUUACAGAUGAGGAAGCCGAGGCACAGUGAGAUUAAGUAACUUGUCCAAAGCUGCACAGCUAGUAAGGGGUGGAAGAGCCAGAAUUUGAGCCCAGGGCAUCGAUGUGACCCACACUGCUGCUUUGUGACAUUUGGACACCUGGGUCAGGAGCUCAGGGUGGAUCUGAGUGGUAGCUGUAGACAUGGAGUCAUCUGAGGCCAGGACAGCACUUAGGCCCCGUGAAGCCAGCCAGGAAACGUUCCCAGCAUCAAACUCGUCCUUUGCAUUAACAGUCAGGGGUAAGUACCCACAUCUGAGGUGCCCUUGAACUUGGGGGCACUGUAGGGGACAGUGGGCCGUUUCUUAAGCAUCACUGCUCAAGCCUACAAGCCCCUCCAGGAUGCUUUGCCCAGAGGAAGGGGGAGGCGGGACGGCAUAAUCCGGUUGACAGCAGCUUUAGGAAAAGCCCCCACGAAGACACGUGCGACAGCGCAGGUCCCAGUGCCAAGCAGCCCUCCAGGAGGCCAGCCCAAGGCAGGGAGGGGUGGCAGGGGUGGCAUCCAAGCUGUUCUCCGAGAGCCUUCCCCCGCAGGACUUACCCAAAGCUUACUCUUUGCUAAAGACUGAGUUUAGUGUUUGAAAAAUUCAGAUAAACCCAAAUCUUAGAAAGCUGACGUCCUAAAGGACACUACAGGACACCUAGUUCAGUGUCCCCACUUUCCAGAGGAGGACGUUGAUGCCCAGAGAAAUUAAGUGACUUGGCCAAAACUGUCCAGUUAGAUGUCGUGGCAGGGCCACCACUUCGUCAUAGGAUGAUCCAAGGGUGGACACACCAGGUCCUCUACCUGUUGAGAACGUGUAGCCAUGACCUUCUUCGUAAAGAGCUUUCUCUUAGGAUGAUGGCCAGUUUCCUUCUGUGUUGCAGGCCAGAGCCUGUUGGAGCUGUUCUUAUUCUAGUCCUUUCACUCCCCUAGGCAGCUGCAGUCAAGUUCUGACUUGUUAAGGGCAGAGAAUUCUGGAGUGAGGAGACGGCAGAAUGAUGGAGAAGCUCUUAGCCUGCAACCUGCAAUCCUUUCUGUAAACCGCUUGCUGCCGCUCUCUGCUGUGGCCCCGCCAGCUUGGUGUCCCUCUUCCUGCACAGCCGGUGGCUGUUACAGCAGAACACAGGCGAGUGCUCUGAUACAAAGACAAACUAUGUACAGACACCCGGGAAGCAACUG